rnacentral:rRNA from 1 species
GAUGAACGCUGGCGGCGUGCCUAACACAUGCAAGUCGAGCGAUUCUCUUCGGAGAAGAGCGGCGGACGGGUGAGUAACGCGGGGGUAACCUGCCCUGUACACACGGAUAACAUACCGAAAGGUAUGCUAAUACGAGAUAAUAUGCUUUUAUCGCAUGGUAGAAGUAUCAAAGCUCCGGCGGUACAGGAUGGACCCGCGUCUGAUUAGCUAGUUGGUAAGGUAACGGCUUACCAAGGCGACGAUCAGUAGCCGACCUGAGAGGGUGAUCGGCCACAUUGGAACUGAGACACGGUCCAAACUCCUACGGGAGGCAGCAGUGGGGAAUAUUGCACAAUGGGCGAAAGCCUGAUGCAGCAACGCCGCGUGAGCGAUGAAGGCCUUCGGGUCGUAAAGCUCUGUCCUCAAGGAAGAUAAUGACGGUACUUGAGGAGGAAGCCCCGGAUAACUACGUGCCAGCCGCCGCGGUAA